GAAUCAUGCAACAGUGACAUCACUGCUACUAGUGAUAACGAACCCAGGCCCAGUACGUCAAGAGGGAGCGUUGGACCCACUGUACGCGGUCGUGGAAAGGCUACUGGGCAUAUAAUAUAUCUUUAUUUUACCCGUAGUGAUAGCUAGUUAAUAUAAGAAUAACCUAUUUUGUUUUAUUUGUAUACAAUAUUAUAAAUUCUAGGUAUGAUGUCAG
rnacentral:lncRNA from 1 species